UUUAAAUAACUGCAAAGUGCGUGUCUCGAGACGCCUUCAUUUUGAAGAUACAAAAAGAAUCAGGUCACCUGAAAUGCGCCCGAAGAGUUUCGGGACCUUCGAGAAACGGA